CAGCAGCCGCGGGAAUACCGAGGGUGCAAGCGUUAAUCGGAAUUACUGGGCGUAAAGCGCGCGUAGGUGGUUUGUUAAGUUGGAUGUGAAAGCCCCGGGCUCAACCUGGGAACUGCAUCCAAAACUGGCAAGCUAGAGUACGGUAGAGGGUGGUGGAAUUUCCUGUGUAGCGGUGAAAUGCGUAGAUAUAGGAAGGAACACCAGUGGCGAAGGCGACCACCUGGACUGAUACUGACACUGAGGUGCGAAAGCGUGGGGAGCAAACAGGAUUAGAUACCCGAGUAGUCCCUGUCUCUUAUAC
rnacentral:rRNA from 1 species